rnacentral:rRNA from 1 species
GGAUUAAUUUAUUGGUCGUGCUAUUGUACGUACUGGUAUUAUUGAUUCCUACCUUCUGACGAACCACGAUGCCAUUAAUUUGGUGUCAUGGGGAAUCAGGACUGUUACUUUGAAAAAAUUAGAGUGUUUAAAGCAGGCUCACGCUUGAAUACAUUAGCAUGGAAUAACGAAAUAGGACGUUUGAUCCUAUUUUGUUGGUUUCUAGGAUUGACGUAAUGAUUAAUAGGGAUAGUUGGGC